rnacentral:rRNA from 1 species
GAUGAACGCUGGCGGCGUGCCUAAUACAUGCAAGUCGAGCGAACAGACGAGGAGCUUGCUCCUCUGACGUUAGCGGCGGACGGGUGAGUAACACGUGGAUAACCUACCUAUAAGACUGGGAUAACUUCGGGAAACCGGCGCUAAUACCGGAUAAUCUAUUGAACCGCAUGGUUCAAUAGUGAAAGACGGUUUUGCUGUCACUUAUAGAUGGUUCCGCGCUGCAUUAGCUAGUUGGUAAGGUAACGGCCUACCAAGGCAACGAUGCGUAGCCGACCUGAGAGGGGGAUAGGCCACACUGGAACUGAGACACGGUCCAGGCUCCUACGGGAGGCAGCAGUAGGGAAUCUGCCGCAAUGGGCGAAAGCCUGACGGAGCGACGCCGCGUGAGUGAUGAAGGUCUUCGGAUCGUAAAACUCGGUUAUUAGUGAAGAACAAAUGUGUAAGUAACUAUGCACGGCUUGACGGUACCUAAUCAGAAAGCCACGGCUAACUACGUG